UACGGAGGGUGCAAGCGUUAAUCGGAAUUACUGGGCGUAAAGCGUGUGCAGGCGGUUUGUUAAGUCCGUUGUGAAAGCCCCGAGCUCAACUUGGGAAUUGCAGUGGAUACUGGCAGGCUGGAGUACGGUAGAGGAAGGUGGAAUUCCCGGUGUAGCAGUGAAAUGCGUAGAUAUCGGGAGGAACACCAGUGGCGAAGGCGGCCUUCUGGACCAGUACUGACGCUCAUGCACGAAAGCGUGGGGAGCAAACAGG
rnacentral:rRNA from 1 species